rnacentral:rRNA from 1 species
GAUGAACGCUGGCGGCGUGCCUAAUACAUGCAAGUCGAGCGAACGGACGAGAAGCUUGCUUCUCUGAUGUUAGCGGCGGACGGGUGAGUAACACGUGGAUAACCUACCUAUAAGACUGGGAUAACUUCGGGAAACCGGAGCUAAUACCGGAUAAUAUUUUGAACCGCAUGGUUCAAAAGUAAAAGACGGUCUUGCUGUCACUCAUAGAUGGAUCCGCGCUGCAUUAGCUAGUUGGUAAGGUAACGGCUUACCAAGGCAACGAUGCAUAGCCGACCUGAGAGGGUGAUCGGCCACACUGGAACUGAGACACGGUCCAGACUCCUACGGGAGGCAGCAGUAGGGAAUCUUCCGCAAUGGGCGAAAGCCUGACGGAGCAACGCCGCGUGAGUGAUGAAGGUCUUCGGAUCGUAAAACUCUGUUAUUAGGGAAGAACAUAUGUGUAAGUAACUGUGCACAUCUUGACGGUACCUAAUCAGAAAGCCACGGCUAACUACGUG